rfam:Gordonia soli NBRC 108243 DNA, contig: GS408.
GCCGCCCUAGCUCAGUCGGUAGAGCAAUUCACUCGUAAUGAAUAGGUCAGGGGUUCGAUUCCCCUGGGCGGCU